rnacentral:rRNA from 1 species
UAAAACGGAGGGGGCAAGCGUUGUCCGGAAUCACUGGGCGUAAAGGGAGCGCAGGUGUUCCAAUAAGUCGGAUGUUUAAUCCUUCGGCUCAACUGAAGGCGUGCGUCCGAAACUGUUGGGAUAGAGCACAGCAGAGGGAAAUGGAACUCCUGGUGUAGCGGUGGAAUGCGUAGAUAUCAGGAGGAAUACCGAUGGCGAAGGCAAUUUCCUGGGCUGUUGCUGACACUGAGGCUCGAAAGCUGGGGGAGCAAACAGGAUUAGAUACCCUGGUAGUCCCAGCUGUAAACGAUGAGCACUAGGUGUAGGACUCUUGUGGUUCUGUACCGAAGCUAACGCAUUAAGUGCUCCGCCUGGGGAGUACGCCCGCAAGGGUG